rnacentral:misc_RNA from 1 species
AACUUUCAGCAAUGGAUCUCUCGGCUCUCGCAUCGAUGAAGAGCGUAGCGAAUUUCGAAAAUUAAGGCGACUUGCAUAAAUCGCGAACCAUCGAGUUCUUGAACGCACACUGCACCCUCUGGUUACCCGGAGGGUCUGCCCGGCUGAGUAUCGAUUAACCCAACAUCGCGCCACACUGUGGCCGCGGACGAGUGAGGGUUGGCCGCGCAAGCAGCCGUCCCUUGAAAUGCACAGCUUGAGCCCGCGUUUGUCGGGCUGCGUGUUGCAACUCCACACUUGUGGGGCCAGCGCGUGGCAAUCCCCGCCCUCGCAUCGCCAAGCACGCGACAACGACGCGCACGAGCAGCCGUCCACACGGCUGGCUCGCGCACCAAACGCGAUCUCAACUCGGGCAGGAUUACCCGCUGAACUUAAGCAUAUCAAUAAGCGGAGGCU